UCGCUGUGUGUUACAAGUGGUCACACGGAACUGCCGGUCAUAAACCGGAGGAAGGUGGGAUGACGUCAAGUCAGCAUGGCCUUUAUAUCCUGGGCUACACACACGCUACAAUGGGAAGGGACAAUAGGGUUGCGAAGCCGCGAGGCGGAGCCAAUCCAGCAAAACUUCCCUCAGUUCAGAUUGCAGGCUGCAACUCGCCUGCAUGAAGUUGGAGUUGCUAGUAAACGCAGGUCAGCCAUACUGCGUUGAAUACGGUUCCCGGGGCUU
rnacentral:rRNA from 1 species